UACGAAGGGGGCUAGCGUUGUUCGGAAUCACUGGGCGUAAAGCGCACGUAGGCGGUCUUUUAAGUCUGGUGUAUAAGUGCGGGGCUCAACCCCGUGAGGCACUGGAAACUGGGAGACUUGAGUGCAGAAGAGGAGAGCGGAAUUCCACGUGUAGCGGUGAAAUGCGUAGAGAUGUGGAGGAACACCAGUGGCGAAGGCGGCUACCUGGACCGGUUCUGACGCUGAGGCGCGAAAGCGUGGGUAGCAAACAGG
rnacentral:rRNA from 1 species